UGAGAUGCUGGAUGCUGAACAGAUUAACUCUUCAGUUAUAAGGUGGAUUCAGGAAGGGUAGGAUUGUAUCAGUAUGGAGCACAAGGGUGACAAGCAGUGUCUCUGGAUUCUCCAUCCCUGGAGGCAGAUAGAUUUCAGAAGCUUGCCCUAGGCCACCAGAAAUGGGACACUUCUGCCCUGAAGUGGAAACAGUUGCACAAUAGAGGUGGUUACCCCUCGCAGCUCUAAGUUCAUGACUGGGUCAGCGCUGGCCUGUCAUUAUUCCUGGGCUUGUGAGGAUUCAUGAGACAAUCAAUCACAUGGCCUAUGUGUGGAUAAUGGGUAUAACUAAUGCACUUGAAAUAGCGGCUGGCUUUCUGAUAAUGGACUUCCCAAAGUGCACUGAGUGUCAUUAAUAGUAUUCAUGGCUGCAGGUUGCUUGCCAAAAAAAGAAAGUAAAUACAUUCAUCAGAAUUCAACACAGACUAGCAUCAAAAUAAAAUAUGCAGGAAAGGCACAUGAAGAAAGCGUAAGCACCUUGGGAAUUUGAAGGGCCAAAUAGAGAUUGUUUUGCAUGGGCUGUUCUCUAGUACUGUGUUUUCUAGAGACACCAAGGUGAACCCUGGGAGGCUGCUGAACAAGGAGCAUAAGAGAGCUGAAAGCAAAACUGGCACCCUAUAACUGGCACCCCUAUGCCCUCACCCAGGCAGCAUGCUGAGAACAGGCAGAACUAGGACUCUAGGAAAAAUAGCUUUUUAAGUUGACCACACAGGUUACCUGCCAGCCUUAACUUUUUAAGGAAAGGUUGUCAGUUAUUUGUCUGCUCGCUCUCUCUCAUUUAUCCCGUCCCUCCAUGAAAUCUGCCUUGGAUCAUGAAAGACUGAGGGAGAAGCAGGUAACAUGUGAACUAUUUUUCAAAGUUCUUCAUUUCUGAAGCAAAAUCCCAUUUCACUACAGGCAGUUUCCUUGAGAUAACAAUCUCAUUAGUCACAAUGAAAUCAGAAAUCAUUGUCCAUAAUGCCUGCAGUAGAAACACCAUGAAUGGCAGUUAACAGGGCCUGGAUUUGUUUCCUCCAGGUUUUCUUCAGUCUUUUCCCUAAGCAUUCCCAAUCCUAGGAUGCUUCAUGGCCCAUUCUUUUCUGCAGGCUGAUCCUGAGCUUUUGACACCCCUGAGUUGUUCCCAAAACUGCUUUCCUUUUCUGCUGCAGGCUUUAUCUCUUUCCUGUAAAAGUCAGUUUGACCAUGUCAAGAACCAAGCCCUUAAAUUAAAGUCUUUUCUAUGCGGACCACAGAAAUUAAGCAGAAUUGUGGAGCCUUCUUUCAGACAGGUGGCAGAGCCCUGAGUGAUAGCUAUCAUGGAGCUUGGUGCUCCUGAGUAGGACUGUACAGAGUGUUGUGAUCAGUUAAUGCUCUUAUUUAUAAUUCAAUAUCAGCACAAAAAGGCAGUAAUAAGUCAGGGUAUUAAAUAUUUGCAUAAUUUUCUUUUUUCACUACACGGGUAAUUGUGUAGCCCUUUGCAUCUGAUUUACACAACUCAAGAGUUUGCACAACUCAUUUUUGUGCAAACAAAACAGUUAUCAGCACUAAUUAGAGUAUUUAUUUUAGCAGUGCAAAAUCCCCAAAAUUUUGAUCUUGGGUAUCUAUAUCUCUUCAGAGCUUAAAGCCUGAACACACAGGGAAAUGGUAUCUCUUUGUCUUGGAGCAGGUUACACAAGAGGAAAAGGCAAGUAGAUAGUCCCAAGAAGUCUGUUGUCUAGUGGGAUAUGUGUGUUUGGCACAAGGAUGCUGUCAUGACCAAGAAUAUACCUCUUCUGCUAACUCUGAGCUUGUUUGCUGUAGUUCAAGGAUCUGAGAUAAAACCUUAAAAAUGUUUUCUUUUAAAGGAAAUAGAGAAACUCUUUCUGCCUCCUUAAAGCAUCAGAUGGCUAAAUCCAAAGUCACACAGAUCAGGUAUCACCUGUCCUCUCAUAGGCUGCAAGAGUGAUGUCAACAAAAGGAACUCGUCAUUGCAUACUCUUAAUUCAACCGAAAUCCAGGAUAUGCCUACUCUGUUUGGAUCACUGGUACUGCUCAGUGAUCCUGCAGCAUUACUGAUGACAAGACUGCAGCCCAAGUGCAAUCAAGGAAAAGCCAGGAGCUGCAGCUUUCAUCAAUGGGACUUUAAACAAGGGGUUUUCAUGAGCACCAAGACAUAUUCUGCUUGACAUGCUGGCACAAAGUCAACAUAGAAGAAUGCUGUGUCAGGAAACUGUCAUGAAAUUUACAGCAGAAAUACAACCCUUCAAAUUCUCCUCUGAGAAAAGGGUUCAUGUGGAGUUGUUUGAUUACAUAAAAUUACAUAAUUUCUAUAAACGCGAGGAUGUUAGAGACAAUAUAAAAAUGAUCACAACAUAAUUGUUAGGCAGGAUGAAGCUCUUAUAGGAGAGCACCUGCAGAAGUGCCUCAGAGAAUUAAAAAGCUUAAUCUGUAUUGCUAUCAUUAUUUUCAAAUGACAUUCAAACCUGCCACUUUGAAUUUCUUUUCUGCAAAAAAUAAAAGGAAUAUUUAAUCAUCA